GCUGAUAGCCCUACUGCCAUGAACACAUCAGAUCUCAUCUGAUCUCUGAAGCUAAGCAGGGUCAUGCUUGGUUAGUAUUGACUGGGAGCAGGUCAUCUACUAACUAGAUCAGGGGUGUCAAAC
rnacentral:rRNA from 1 species